UCAAUAGAACCGAACACAAGAUGUUAUGUAGCAAUUCGAACAUUCAAACAAAUUGUCCAAGGAUGAAGCAUUACAAAACAUUGAGAACCAAUAAAUCAAGACAUCAUACCAUAUGCAAAAUAAAUCAUGUGUUAAAUCAUGCAUUAAAAUAUUAAGAACAAGCAUGUCAAGGAUCCAAAUCAAUAUUUCUCAAAUAAACUCCCCCUAUUUAAAUAUAAUCUUGCAAUGAUUUUAUCCUUAAAUUGUG
rnacentral:lncRNA from 1 species